rnacentral:rRNA from 1 species
GUGUCAGCAGCCGCGGUAAUACAGAGGUGGCAAGCGUUGUUCGGAAUUACUGGGCGUAAAGGGCGCGUAGGCGGCUCGACAAGUCCCGCGUGAAAUCCCCCGGCUCAACUGGGGAAUUGCGCGGGAAACUGUCGGACUUGAGUUCGGGAGAGGGAAGCGGAAUUCCGGGUGUAGCGGUGAAAUGCGUAGAUAUCCGGAGGAACACCGGUGGCGAAGGCGGCUUCCUGGACCGACACUGACGCUGAGGCGCGAAAGCUAGGGGAGCAAACGGGAUUAGAAACCCGCGUAGUCC